AACAGUUUAUGAGCAAGUGUUUUGAAAUUCUGCUUUAAAUAAGCCGGUAAAUGAAUUCAACCUUGUCAGAUCUCUCUCCCUCACGCAGACCAAAUAUCCCGCUGGCGUGCUGUCUAGACACAGAUAACAAAGGACUUUUUACGGCGCCCAGAGACGCGCUGACAAAGUCGCCAUUUAAAGAUGCAGUGUUGCUUUCUCCGUCGAAACCAUUUGUCAGAUGGACUUCAAUGGAAACGCUAAGUUAACGGUUGCGCAGAAGAGGACUGUUUGACUGUCCGCGGCCCACUGGCAAACGAUUCUCGAUCUUCUUGUUUGAAGGAGCCGGCUGCUGAAAUGUGUCUAACACCCAGGCUGGGCAGAUUCUGUGCGCCUGAAGGGGUGGCAGAAAGGACUCAUCUUUAAUAACUGCUUUUAAGAGGCUGCUUCUAAUCUCUGCUCCUCCCAAAGUGAACAGCCCACGGGCUCCGCCGUCUGUGGGCAGAACCCCUGGUUUCACCCAGACACACGGAUGUGAAGGUUCUGGAAGACACCCACUGCUGUGGGGGAUACGACGCUGGGGUUUAGAACAGUGCUCUCUCUGGUCAAGGGUUCAACUGGAGCAAUGGGAAAUGGGAGCCCAUGGUCUCCUGUGCCUGGGGCAGGGCCAGCGCUUGGUCAGCACUGCUAACAGCUGGACUCCAAGGCUACUGGCGAUGCGACUUGGCCUGGUGACCUACCCAGGACUAGAGAGAACCCAGAUGCUUCCUGCACUUGUGAGUUCCUCCUAAGCACACCUGCUGCCAGUCUCAUCCCGCAACCACAGCAGACAUUACUAAUCAAUGACUGCACUUCCCCCCACCCCCCGGCCACUGCCCCCCACCAGCCCAGCUCAGGCCUCGGGGAGAUUCCUGUCCCCAGAGUCCCAGGAAGUUAAGUGAAGCAUUUUUUUCU